rnacentral:rRNA from 1 species
CGGACGGGUGAGUAACACGUGGAUAACCUACCCAUAAGACUGGGAUAACUUCGGGAAACCGGAGCUAAUACCGGAUAAUAUAUUGAACCGCAUGGUUCAAUAGUGAAAGACGGUUUUGCUGUCACUUAUAGAUGGAUCCGCGCUGCAUUAACUAGUUGGUAAGGUAACGGCUUACCAAGGCAACGAUGCGUAGCCGACCUGAGAGGGUGAUCGGCCACACUGGAACUGAGACACGGUCCAGACUCCUACGGGAGGCAGCAGUC